CUGCCACACUGACCACGUGAUGUUGGGCUAGUUCGAGUCUCUCACUCUCUGUGGAAAAGAUGGCCAUCGCUCCUGAAGGGAACACAAAGCAUCGGGGGACGUGAGGGCGAGGCCAGCUGGAUCGCUGCGAGGAGUGUCCUCCGGUGACCCAGGCUUUCUCGGUGAGAAGACAAGAGUGUCCUUGCCGCUGAAAACAACAGAAGGAGCUGUAAGCAGCGCUGAGAAUCCCAGGAUACAGCGGGAACGCGGGGUUUCCCCCAGCCGUUUUCUUCUGCCCAACCACCACCAGAGUCUCCCAGCCACAGCCCCAGGACCCAUCCAGCCACAUUUCCCAGGAUUUUAGCUGAUCCACGGAUGCUCAAUGUUUCCAGAAGUUUCCUACCACCUCCUUUUUGAAGGAGCCUUGCCAUUAAUGACAACGCUUUGAGCAAGUUCCUCAACCUGUUGACACAUCUACGAAGACAACAGGAAGGACUGGAAUUAGAUCCCUUCAGAUUCCCAUCAGGGCAAGACAACAAGGCCAUCAUCCACUCAGACUUCCUACACACACCGGAAUCUGUGGGAAGUAAAUUGAAAGGGAAUGGGAAGGAGAGACGGCACGUAUUGAAUCUCUCAUUAGCCCCACUGCCUGGUUCUCAUUAGUGAGCCUUCUGGGUUAUCGGCACAAGCGCCUGGACUUAUUUUCAUGGCUGAAUAGCACACGUGAAAUGUAGGCGAUUUCUAAUCCAUAUUAUAUGAGCUCCCGACUUCGCUGUCUUACAAGAUGGAGCGUCUAGAAGCAUCCCUCUGGCGCUGCAGGGAUGACCAAGUUCAUUUGUCUGCAUCCGUGGGAAGCUUCUCAAUGAGGACUUGAACAGCCAGGUUUUGGGAGUCUGGCGAAGCCGUCAGAGCUGGGUGUGCGGUCUCGGAAGAGGAAGCUCACCCCACCCGACUGAAGGAGAUGAACGGCAUGAGUACGACAGGCCAUCUGAAAUCCAACACGUUACCCUUUCAAAGUGAAAACUAGACCCGGCUCGGAGGUGCAGGUUGUUGGGAGCAUACGGACCUGCAGUGCUGGAAGACACGCGGCUGACCGUGCAUUCAGAUUCCCCGGGGUGUGCACAGGUGUCUGGGAUCCUGACAAGCAGGGGGCUGAGAGGAAGGGGCCUUAGUGUGAGGGGACCCUGUCGAGACCUUUCUCUUACUCUGUCUCUCACGUGCAUGCAUUGUCUAUUAUACAUAAAAGAAAAAUACACUUUAAAAAGAAAGUAGAAAUCAGGUCCAUUCAUGGUAGAUCAUGCUGGGCACUGCUACUUAAUAGGCUGAGACUACCCGAGAGACCUGAGUUUAAU